GCCUUGGUGGUGUAGUGGUCAGCACGCUGGGCGCGUAUUCCAGAGGUCCGUAGUUCGAGUCCCGGCGAAGGCG
rnacentral:tRNA from 1 species